GACGAACCGAGCGAACGUUGUUCGGAAUUACUGGGCGUAAAGCGCGCGCAGGUGGGCGAACAAGUCGGAAGUGAAAUCUUGAGGCUCAACCUCGAGGCUGCUCCCGAAACUGUUCGCCUAGGGACUGGUAGAGGCUGGUAGAAUUCCCGGUGUAGCGGUGGAAUGCGUAGAGAUCGGGAAGAAUACCUGUGGCGAAGGCGGCCAGCUGGGCCAGAUCCGACACUGAGGCGCGAAAGCGUGGGGAGCAAACAGG
rnacentral:rRNA from 1 species